GAGGGCAGGACCGGGGCCUCGCCCCACCCGACGGCGCCGCUGGAGAGCUCGACCCGCACGGCGACGUUGGCGACGGCCUCGAGGCGCGAGGAGGCGAUGGUGAAGGGCGCGGCGAGCGGCACGUUGAGCGGGCGCGCCUCGGCCGCCGCCACGUCCACCGAGAAGGUCUCCUUGAGCGCGUCGAAGCCGAACGCCUCCAUCGGCUGCUGA
rnacentral:rRNA from 1 species